AUCAUGUCAAGAUGGUUGAGAGCGUGGAAGGCUAACGGGCUAAGAAGACUCAAGUAAGCGAACGCAAAUACGGACGCACAAAGUUAUACAGGUUUAUGGAUUUCUCAUCAUUGAGUGUAUGCGGUCGAAGAUCAAGUUAAGACAUGGAUUGUACUUGUGGGUGCAUGGUCACGUAAUUUAGUAUACGUAUGUCAGGUCUUAAUUAAAUAUAUAGAAGCGAUUAAAGUAUUUAAGGUGAAAGAAUGAAUAUAAUGAAAGAAAUUUUAAAUA